rnacentral:rRNA from 1 species
UACGGGGGGGGCAAGCGUUGUUCGGAAUUACUGGGCGUAAAGGGCUCGUAGGCGGCCAACUAAGUCAGACGUGAAAUCCCUCAGCUUAACUGAGGAACUGCGUCUGAUACUGGAUGGCUUGGAUUCGGGAGAGGGAUGCGGAAUUCCGGGUGUAGUGGUGAAAUGCGUAGAGAUCCGGAGGAACACCAGUGGCGAAGGCGACACGCUGGGCCGUACCUGACACUGAUGCGCGACAGCAUGGGGAGCAAACAGG